rnacentral:tRNA from 1 species
GCGGACGUGGUGAAACUGGUAGACACAAGGGACUUAAAAUCCCUUUCGGGUAACCGAGUGCGGGUUCGAGUCCCGCCGUCCGCACCA